GAAAGAAAGCGCGCUGGCUUGCAGUUUGGUUCGGCUCUGAGGAGAGAAGCAGGAAUGCGCCUCGUCCCCGGGAUUGCCCCUCUUCUUUUUCCUCUUGGUGGAUCUGUUGUUGGGAUUCUAAAAAAGAGAGCAAGGAUUUUGAUCUCUCGUACUUUGUUUGGGGAUUUGUACAAAAAGUGCCAAACUAUUCGGAGAUUUUGGAGCUACUUUUGUUUGGAUUUUGUUUCAAAUCUAUCUUCUCAAUGAUGGACUCCACGUCUUGCAUUGGCUCUUAGUUUGUCAUAUAAACAGUCCAGUCAGCAGCUUCUUUCCACUUAAGUCCGCUAAUUUGUUGAAUUGUGCUCGGAAUGUCGCGUUUCGUUGUGUUAUUGUUGUGCGCUUUUGUUGGCGUGUAGACGCAACCAGUGCGUCUUCUGUCUAAUGUUGCCGUUUGGCCACCAGUGUUGGUCAGUUGGCUGUGCAUGCCUUGCACGGCAUUUCACUGACUUAUUCAUGUUGAGUGUGUGUAACUUUGGGACAGCCGAACAAGAGUAACCUCCACCCCCCUCGCCCCCAAUAGAUAGUCAAGUUGUCUAUGUUCAGGACGAAACGCUCAGGUCUUGUGCGGCGACUCUGGAGAAGCCGUUUGAUUCCAGAUAAAGAGGGGGACGAUGGAAAUGGCCAAACUAAUGAGGGGUGCAGGGACGAUCUGUUUGCAAACAACCCGCAGAAGAUUCCCAAAACGGAGUUUAGAUCGAUGACCCCCAGCGGGUCUUUUACAGGUGACCCAGGGGGUGUGUUCAGCAGUGCCCUGGGGGUAGACCAAGAUGGGGGUGCAGGGUGUGUGCAGGACCAAGGGUCUCCUCGCUUCGCGCAAGAUAGUGACUCCAGGACAGUGACCUGCUGCUUAUUUAAAGAGCGGGACCACUCUGAGCUCAGGGGUCCAGAGGCGAUCCCGGAUAGCAGGGACCCUGGGUCGUGCCACUUCACCCUGAGGGGCCUUGGACAGCGGGAUGGUGGUUCUCCUGAGUCCCAGGAGGCAAUGCCUCGCAUGGUGCUGGAGCAAGAACUCAAGUUGGCCACACACACGCUUUUAAAAAAGCUCAAGGAGAAGGCGCUGGAUACUUUACUGGAGGCAGUGGAGUCCAAAGGAGGGCUUCCCAGCGACUGUGUCAUGGUGUCCCGGACUGAGCUGAGGCUGGGUGGCCAUGUGGCGGCCCCACAGCUGCUUGUGUGUAAACUGUACCGCUGGUCAGACCUCCAGCACCCAGCCCAGCUCAAACCGCUCUGUGAGUGUAAGAGCUUUGGGGGGCUGGACAGUCCGACUGUAUGCUGCAAUCCCUAUCACUACAGUCGCCUCUGUGGGCCAGAGUCACCCCCACCUCCAUAUUCAAGGCUUUCCCCGAAUGAAGAACACAAGCCACUGGACCUGUCAGACUCCACAUUGUCUUACACUGAAACAGAGGCGGCCAGCUCACCAAACGUCACACCAGGGGAAUUCUCAGAUGCCAGCAUGUCACCUGAUGCCCCCAAGCAGAGCCACUGGUGCAAUGUGGCAUACUGGGAGCACCGCACACGCGUGGGCCGCCUCUACACAGUGUACGAGCACUCCGUCAGCAUCUUCUACGAUCUACCUCAGGGCACUGGCUUUUGCCUGGGCCAGCUCAACCUGGAGCACCGCAGCAGCACGGUGCAGCGCACACGCGGCAAAAUCGGCUACGGCAUCCUCCUCAGCAAAGAGGCGGACGGCGUGUGGGCAUACAACCGCAGCGAGCACCCCAUCUUUGUCAACUCACCCACUCUGGACAUGCCCAACAGCAGGAGCUUGGUGGUGCGCAAGGUGAUGCCAGGCUUCUCCAUAAAGGUGUUUGACUACGAGCGAUCAUGUCUGCUGCGGCACACAGCCGAGGCCGACCUCCUGGACGGACCCUACGACCCCAACAGCGUGCGUAUCAGCUUUGCUAAGGGCUGGGGGCCCUGCUACUCCAGACAGUUCAUCACAUCCUGCCCAUGUUGGCUGGAGAUCCUCCUCAACAGCCACAGAUAACACGGACCCCCACAGACCAUCCCAAAUAUCAUCUACCUAGAUUUAAUAUAAAGUUUUAUAUAUUAUAUGAAAUAUAUAUAUUAUACUUGUAAAUAAGGAGUCCUUUUUACAAUGUCAUUAUUUAUGUAUGGUGCAAUGUGUAUAUGGACAAGAGGAAAAAAAAUGGAAAAUGCACUUUGGCUUAUAUAUAUAUAUAUAUUAUAUAUAUAAAUAUAUAUAAAAGAAAGAAAAUUUCAAUACCAACUUGAGAAAUUAUACAGCAAAAUUAGGAUGAGCCUGGAUUUGGUGUAUAGUUUUGAUAUACUAUUAAUAUCCAGAUGAAAAGCUAACACCAUUCACACAUUGAUAAUAAAGUAUUCGCAUAAUAAGCUCCUUUGUUUUGGUCUUUAUCAUUAGUGCUUUUGAUGGUUACAAACAUUUUUUUCAUUAAUAAUAGUGGCUCGAUUCAAUUGUUUAGAUAUACACUCACCAGGUACAAUUUUAAGGACGUCUAUAAAAAUUCUGCCUUCCGAAGAUGAUAAUGCUCACUUAUGAGAGGUUUUAAUUUCUUGUGGUUGUAGUUUGCUGUGGUGUACAGGUGCAUCCUACUGAGAGCUGUUUCUAAUAUUUUGCUCACCUUAGCUACAUGUAAGGGACACUAGUGUCAAAUGUAGUUUGACUGUCCCGCAUGUCCUUGGGGUCCUAAGAAGCCAUAGUGAUGAGAUGGUGGCAGUGGAAAGAAAAAAGGCUGCGCACUUUCAAAGGUUCUAAUAUCUCAAUUCAGGAGUGUCUUGAGGUCUCACAAUGGACGUGCAGGGGUGGGGGGCGCAACUGCAGCAACUUGAGACGGCCUCUGUGAUGCUGGAAUGUGCACUUUUUACAAGCCUGCUGGAAUCUUCCAAACUGCUGCCAGAGUGGAUGUGGGUUUUGCCGGCUUCCUUCAUAAUUGCUAGUGUUCGGUUGUCAGAUUGGUGGUGUGUGUGUGUGUGUGUGUGUGUGUGUAGAUGUUUGCCAGCAUUCAGCAAAGGAGGCAUUCACCUCCUCUCGUUCUGCUUUAAUGAGUUCACAACUGAGCAGCUAUGAGGUUUAAUGGACAAGCAUCAAGUUGCGAUAAGCAGUUUCUGAAAAGUUUGUGAAGCGCAAUGUGUUUUUCUUUCAACCUGAUAAUACAAUUUCCAAUUGAAUGUGCUGCUGCGCGCUGCGUCUCGCUCUUUGCCCUCCAUCAAGAGGAUCAGACAGCCUCCUUCCAGGCCUGCUGUCUGUCUGGAGCCAACACUGUGGAGAGGAGUGGCUCCACUCUGCCUCUACUCACUUCCCUACAACUGGGGGCCAUUAUCCUCCUCCUUUGUGUCUCUGUUAUGGGAAAAAAGGGUCCACAUCACCACUGGAGAGGAACUAGCAGACAAUUAUGCUAUACAGGGGUGGGCGAGCAGCUAUAAGAUUCCUAGUGGGCACAUUACACAAGCCACCACAGAGACGAGAAGAGGGGCUUUAAUUAGACAGAGGGAGCCAAGUGACAGUUCAUGAGGAGUCUGUAAGUUUGUGGUAUAGGAGCACUGCAGCUCGGCAUGGCGCACAGAAAGGAAAAAGUCCAUGUAAGCAGCUUUGGGAAUGGUAUUGAUUAGUGCGCCUCAAUCAUUUCCUGUAGAAGUCACCCAAAAAACAAGUUGCCAUUUUGAAGUCGUAUUUAAACAGAUCAAGGGCUAUUAGAAUGGCUCUUUCUUUCUCACAUUAACAAUAAUGAAAAAAUGCAUCAUGUUGUGAUAUCUGUGCUUAAGAUUCAGGGUGCAUGUGAGUGUCUGUGUGUGUGUGUGCACUGCUGCUUUUUAAAGCUCAGAGUUUCCAAAGCCUGUUAUUAGAGUUGUGUGCUGCCAAAGCUUCAGUGCAUUCCUCAGACUGCAGCCUAUCCUGACGCCUAGAAGCCUGCAGCAAAACAUGGAGCUCUUUUACGUUUUUAGUCACUCAAUUAAUCUGUUUCUAUAAAGAAGAUGCUAGUUCACAAUAGACAUAAGCAGUAAUGCUUUUUCUAAGGGCCCAUGAAGGACAGGGGCACUACAAAAUACAAAAACAUAAUUUUAUUUUUUAGUGCUUUUUUUUCCCACGGUGGCACACCUGGACACGAGGAGUCAAAAACCGACAAAAAUGCCAGUUUCUACCGAGGAAAAACAUUGUUUUGUUUGUUUUCUUUGUCAAAAGUUGUAAAGGGCACCCAUACAAUGUCCAUCGACAUAGCUAGCACCUGGACUGGCCCGUGAAUGGCAGCAAUGGGUCCCAAACUGUUGGGAAAAAAAAUGUAAAAUGAAUUUGAAAGCGAAGAAGCUACUUAGCGAUCGUUAACCCGCGGCUCUUCAGCCUCCUUGUUGCGGAGCCCUUUGCCGAGCUUUUUGUUUUUUUAAACACCGAAAUAGGGGAAAUUUGCAUUUUCGAAAAUAUUGUGAAAUAUCCGACUUUCCGCAAGUACAUGAAUGCAUCUAGACUGCGUUCUCACUGCUGAUUGGCUGAACAAGGGACGGGGACGUAGGCUAGCGUAUGCAGUGAUUCUCGCUGGAGACAAAAAAGGUGAGGGAGUUUGGAGUCUGACGCAAGUUACUGCACUGUAAAAUAAAACUAUGUAAUUAAUGAGAGCAUAGCAGUAUGUUUUAUAACUGUACUGCACUUUAGGUAUGUGUUCGGUGCCCGUGACACGCUAAUCGCCGAGGCGGUGACUCCGGGAGAGGCAGAUAGUGUGCUGCGGGGCUGACUGUGCAUUGACCACUUGAGACUACUUGUUCUGAGCGGCACAUCCUUCACUUGUUGGAGAUGACAUCAUGUAGCUACAUCUCGCUACAAAAUGAGUGAGGAGGCUUCAAUUCCAGCCUGGAGAUGAGGUGUCCAGUGAUGAUUCUGCACCAUGAACAUACUGGACAUGCAAACAUGGGGGACGACAUCAUGCCUCACAGGACAUUCUUCACUUUUAUCUGAUCCCUUCUGGCUGUGUCACCUGACCACAGUUCAUCCCCAGUGCACCUGUGAAAGUCACUCAGAACGCUCGCCAUGCUAAGUGUCAACUUUAUGUGACCUCUGUCUACAAAGAACGUCUGUAUGAGAAGGAGAAGAAGAAGAGCAUGUGAUGGCUGUCGGCCAGCUGAGUCGCCAGAUGUGACCAUUGUUUGGACUCAGUCCCGUGUUGUUAGUGUGUCGAGCCGAGCCGGCUACUGGACACACUUGGAGGGAUCUGGGUAGCAGAUGAUGACUCGCAGCGUGAGCGCUAACCUGUGGAUGAUUUAAGAGAUGAAAGUGUAAGGAAAAAGACAACUUUGGUGAGUGGAAGGUUCCAUCAAAGCAAAGGCAUACAAUGGAAAAUGGAUUAGCUGCAGAUGUUUAAUAGUUCCAUUUCAAUAUGAAACUAAUUCAGUAAGAUGUGACAUUUUCUAGUGGUUAGUGGUGUCAUGAUGUCUUCAGGGCAAUCGGUACACUGUCCAUGACAAACUGAUGCAUUGAUGAUGAUGAUGACAUUAAGGAGUCAUGUGACAUUUUAUGCCAAAGAAAGUUGCAUGUGCCAGCACUUUGAUAAAGAAGGUGAGAAGCACUACUGAAUUCAAGAAAGACGUCGUAGCAAAGCAUGAAGGCGGUGUCCAUGUGGCUCUCCCUUCCUCCCCAUCCGCUUUCGCUGUCUUACCCAACAAGCAUUUUCAAUAAAGGUAAAAUUGAUGUUAAUUAAUUAAUGUUCAUUUAUCCAUUCAUUCAUCAUUUAUAUGUAUUUAGCAUUGAUUUACGCAUGCAAAACUGCUCUUAUUCUCUAUAAACUGUGUUUCGUGUUAAUAUUUUGGCAUGUCAGGAAAAGAUUGUUUGGAUUAAGAUUAUUUCUUCUUAUUGAUUUGUGUUUCGUGCAGUUCGGUUUUCGACUGACCCGUUGGGACGGAUUAAUCAUGAAAACCACGCUAACACUGUAAUAACAGUAUUCCAAUAACAUACACCUUUUUAUGUGAACAUGAAGUAUUUUGUGCACUGUUGUACAUAUUGUCAUUAGUUUUAAACACACUUACAUUCAUCUAAAUGUACAGCUUGUAUCUCCCUACAAGAAAGAGUGGAGUUAGGCUGAAAAUUUGCUUUCACAUGGACAGAAAUUUGGGGAAAUGUGUUUUAUAUGCAUCGGGCCCGUGAAUGGGUCGAUAUGUUAUGUUCUUGGCUUUGCAAACUUGGUUGUAUGGUUCUAAUGUUGGCAGAACACAACGAAACAUUCUUGUUCUAUGAAUCUCCAACUUGACAACCAUGUUCUCCCUCAGAAAACCAGCUUGUCCUCUUCUCGCCUCACUUUUCCCUUUUUUCUUUCCAUGCAGUCAUGGAGAGAGAAGGCUGCCUGUUCCCACACUGACUCGUGAAAGCUUGUCCAACACAGGCUCAGCUCAACCUUGUUUGCUUUCCACCUUACGUUACACACGGGGAAACAAAUUGCACUAUUUUGGGACAGUCGAGCGAGUGAAAAUUCCCCACCCUACAAGUUAUGCAAUUUAUACUUGUAAAAAUGUUCCUUAUUUUUUCAUGAAUGGCCAACACUUUCCUGAGGGCCACGUGUGAAAGCUUGUGCUGGCUGGUCAGAGUGAGCGUGCAGCAGCUCUGUGAGGAGGAGUGGAAGUCUUCUGUCAUGGUUAAACACCAGCACCUGGUGCUGAUUAGGGACCAUUUGUUUCUGUCCACGCACAAGGCAACAGCCUCCUCCCUGCAUGAUAAAUGAAUUAGUGCAAGUAAUGUGUAUGGGAGGAUGAAAGGGACAUGUUCAUCAAUGAAAUAAUUUGACACUGGGAUGUUUUGCUUGCUUACCUGCAAUGGAAUUCUUCUCAACAACGAGCCACAUCCAAGACAGAAAACUCCAUUAGUUUGAGUGUACGUUGACACAGCAACAAUUUAGUCAAAACUGUCAAGUUUCACAAUAUAGUCAAAACAAUCCCUGUUCACACGGACCUGCAAAAAACGACGCUGCAUGCCAGGCCAGUGGUUGGUGAUGUCACUUUGCCAAGAAACACUACAAGUAAGGGCAAAGGCUGCUUGUCCUGCUUGUCCUCCUGACUUUUGAAAACCAUUUGUUGGAUUAAAAGAUGAUGUAUGUUUUGACACAGUAGGGGUGCUGUAAAAAUACACUUUUUUGAAGAAGUGUAUAGGGUUUAUACAUAACAUGAAGUGUUGUAGUUGCUGUAGAUAUUGCUGGAAUUAAUUUGUGUGUGUCUGUUGGCAGGCAGCAUCUUUGUAGUUGUGUUGGUAUACUGUUUAAGUCAUUGUACAUGCAACAUACAUCUGUUCAGUCAAAGUAAUUUGUGCAUGCAGCUGAUAUUUAAUUCACUGUAUUGCUCAUAUUGUUCUGAGCAGGCAGAAGCUUAAGUACGUCUCUUUUGUAGUUAUCGGGUUAUUAUCAUACAUCCGCUUUUUGCCAUCACUGCUACUUGUGGAUGAUUAGGAUGUCCACUGAGUUCUUACUCUAACAGUCUAAGAUUUGUUGACGUUGAAGUUUUGUUUGGCUUUUGAGGCAGAACAUGUAGGUCUUUCAGCAUGUUCCAUUCCACCGUAGCCUACUUGUCUUGCACACACACACAUGCACACAUACUCAUUGACGUGCAUAAUAAACCACGUAGCUGCUGAGCGGCCUAAUGCUUGUUCUUUGUCUAAAUAGCCGAGAUAAAGACAGAGAGGAAAGUGGUAAGCAGUAGCCUCUCCUCCCACCCCUCCCGUUCUCCCCAAGGGGAUCGGAUGUUCUCAACCGUUAUAAGCAAGCAAAGCUGGCGGCCGGCAGACCGUCUGGCUCCAGAGCGGUGCGGGCACACAAACACACACACACACACACACAACACCAGACCUUCUGUCAUGAGGUUUGCUUUCACUGAGGUCAGCUAAACGAGCCCAAAGGCCCCCGAACGAGUGCCGUGAGCUCUCUGUCAUCGCACGCACUCAUGACAACACACUUAACUUUAUUUCCUUCCUCAAGGCAACAGUGUCAGUUGUCUUGUUUGUGUUGUCUGUGUCUGUUUGCAUUGUCACUCUGUCCUACACAAAAUGAGAUCACUCAGGCAAGAGACCUUCUCAGUGUUAAUUGGCAUUAUUAUUAUUAUUGUUAUUAUUUACAAUCUAUUUGUUGAUCUCCUGGUUGUUACACUAAGGAGCUGCAAUGGUAUCAUGUACCGGGUCACAGCAUUUGGUACGUAUGUGCACACUGUGCCAGCUCUACCGAAAAAUCCAGCCUUUACAAAGAUCACGUUCAGUUUAAAUGUCACAUAUCUUGUAUAUGUUUUCAUGUUCAUGUUUUCAUGUUUUCCAGCUAAUGUCUUUUCCUGUUUGCCUGCAGUAAGACAAGCGCACUUGUGACAUGUGUGUUUAAAGGCAACGGGAAGAUCAGGACGUCUCUCUUCACUUGAGGUGUUGCCAAGCUGCCUGCCCUUUAGGAGACCAGAGUAACUUUUUUGAGUUGCAGGGGCAGCAGUCUCAGUAGGGAAGCCCUGACUUUCCGGUCUCCGGCCACCAAUUCCACCACUACUGGGAGAACACCAAUGCGUUCCCAGGCCAGCUAUAAGACAUAAUCCCUCCAGCAUGUCCUAGGUCUGCCUGGGGCCUUCUACUGGCUGGGCAUGCCUGGAACACCUCACCAGGGAUGCGUCCAGGAGAUAUCCAGACUAGAUGCCCGAGCCACCUCAAAUGGCUCCUCUCAAUGUGAAGGAGCAACGGCGCUACUCGGGGCCCUUCCUGGAUGGCCGAGCUCCUCACCCUUUCUUUAGGGUGAGUCCAGCCACCCUGAAAGGGCACCCUACGUUCCGGCUGCUUGUAUCCGCGACCUCGUUCUUUCGGUCACGACCCAAAGCUCAUUACCAUAGGUGAGGGUAGGAAUAUUGAUGGACGGGUAAAUUGACAGCUUCCAGCUCAGCUCUCUCAUCACCACGACGGUCCGGUACAGCAACCGCAUUACUGCAGAAGCUGCACCGAUCCGCCUGUCGACCUCGUGCUUCAACCUUCCCUCACUCGUGAACAAGACCCCGAGAUACUUGAACUCCUCCACCUGUGGCAAGACCUCAUUCCCAACGCGGAGGCUUGCAACUAUGGCCUCAGAUUUGGAGAUGUUGAGUCUCAUCCCAGAAGCUUCACACUCAGGCCCUGUCCACACAGGAAUGUUCCUGAGAUUUUUUUUGGCAGGUUGAAAAAAUGUUGCGCCCAUACUGCGCCAGAUUAGUAAACAGUUGCAUCCCAACACCUGUCCGAAAAAUAACAAUAAUAUUAAUAAUAAUAAUAAUAAUAAUACACAAGCACACCUACACGCGGGCGGGACCACGUGACACACCACAAAUCAUAGAAGAAGAAAAAAGUAUGUUGUUUUCUGCUUUUCAAGACUUCAGAGAAGAGGAAUUACUUCGGCGAGUCAUUAUGGAGUGUAAGACAACAAAAUAUGAGGAGAGUGUCGACUGGGGUGAGUCAUGUACGUCGAAAUAUUCUGAUAUUAUGGUGGUUUGUCGUCAAAACUCACUUCUGGUCAUGUGACGUCAUCGGUCUCGUAUUGCCUGUCUACACGGCAAUGACAAGCCGGCGUUCUCAGAUUUUCCUACUCUGGAAGCCGUUUUCAAAAAAUACCGCUUCAAAUCACCCAGAACGCCGUACCCGUCUGGAUGAGAGGCUGAAACUAUAAAAUACGUUGCCGUUUUGACCUGAAAAUGUUUCCGUGUGCAUAGCCCCUCAGUUGCAAACCGAUCCAGUAAACGCUGAAGGUCACAACCUGAUGAGGAUCAGGAGCAGAUCGUCUGCGAAUAGCAGAGACGAGAUACUAAGGACCCCCAACUGGAUCCCCUCGACACCUUGGCUGCGCCUAGACCUGGAAUAGACUUUCCCAGAGAGGAUGAGGAUAGUUAUCUCCCCGUAGUUGGAACACAUCCUCCAGUCAACCUUCUUGAAAAGCGAGACCACCCCGGUUCACCAAUCCAGAGGUACUGUUCCCGACUUCCAUGCAAUGUUGAAGAGACGUGUCAACCAAGACAGUCCUACAACAUCCAGAGCCUUGAGGAAUUCAGGGUGUCAUUCCAAUCCUCAUGGGUUGGGUUGAAUAAAAGCAUUAAGCCCCAUCAGAAUAAUGAAUUCAUACAGAAAAGAUGUACUGUAGUUUAAUUUUGCUAAAAAAAAAUAACUUCCAUAAUCCGGUGGCACUGCUUUAUUCGACCCCUGUGACCUCAGUGUGGAUCAACUAUUCAGCUAAUUAGCUCUUAUUAGAGCAGUAAAUACACAAAAAAUGUGUUUUUCAUAAAAUAAUGUCAUCCAUACUAGGAUAAAGUACAACAAAUAGAAAUGCUUACAGUUUGUCAAAUGCUAAUACUAAUGAGAAGCCAUCAAGACAUGGUAUAAAAAAAGAGGCCUAAGCGCCUCCUGUUCCUGCAGCUCUCUGAAAUAAACAAGUUUUAAUGUUCAGGAGUAAUGCUUAAUUAUCCAUACAUGGCUAUUU